AAGGAUUUAAGUUAAAUUAAACUAGUAACCUUCAAAGUUGCCAACAAGGACCGCACCCACUUUAAGCCUUA
rnacentral:tRNA from 1 species